rnacentral:rRNA from 1 species
UACGUAGGUGGCAAGCGUUGUCCGGAUUUACUGGGCGUAAAGGAUGCGUAGGCGGACAUUUAAGUCAGAUGUGAAAUACCCGAGCUUAACUUGGGUGCUGCAUUUGAAACUGGGUGUCUAGAGUGCAGGAGAGGUAAGUGGAAUUCCUAGUGGUAGCGGUUGAAAUGCGUAGAGAUUAGGAAGAACACCAGUGGCGAAGGCGACUUACUGGACUGUAACUGACGCUGAGGCAUGAAAGCGUGGGGAGCAAACAGG